UAUACGCAGAGUACAUAUACAAGAUAUGGCUGUGAGAGUUGGACCAUAAGGAAGGCUGAGCACCAAGGACUCUUGGGAGCUUGGACUAUGAGGAAAUCUAAUCAGUUGAUCCUAAAGAAAAUCAACCCUGACUGUCCUUUGGAAGAACAGCUCAGAACUGCGUUGGCUUAUUUGGCAGCUGCUGCACACUGCUGGCUCGUAUUCAAAUGAUUGUCCACUAGGACUCCAAGAUCCCUCUCACAGUCACCAGCAUUGAGCAAGGUACCACAGGUAGCCUCAUUAAAAGGGAAAUUGGCAGAAACCUAACAAGAACAUUUUGUGGAAAGCAAAAC